rnacentral:lncRNA from 1 species
UCGGCUUCACAAUAGAAACGGAAGAGGAAUCUUUUUCCCCUUAUAUCAGUAAUAGUAACACCACCAAGAGGGUGUCAUAGAUUAACCAACACCGUCUUCAUUGAUUGAAAGUUGACUGUAGUAGCCAUGAGAAAGCAUCCCACCAAAGACAUAUCUAGAUUCUCCUCCAAUUAUUCCGGAUCUUGAUCUAUCUCCCAACCUUCUCCUUCCCCA